GAUGAACGCUGGCGGCGUGCUUAACACAUGCAAGUCGAACGGUGAAGCCCCGCUUGCGGGGUGGAUCAGUGGCGAACGGGUGAGUAACACGUGAGCAACCUGCCCUGGACUCUGGGAUAAGCGCUGGAAACGGCGUCUAAUACUGGAUAUGAACUGCGACCGCAUGGUCAGUGGUUGGAAAGAUUUUUCGGUCUGGGAUGGGCUCGCGGCCUAACAGCUUGUUGGUGAGGUAAUGGCUCACCAAGGCGUCGACGGGUAGCCGGCCUGAGAGGGUGACCGGCCACACUGGGACUGAGACACGGCCCAGACUCCUACGGGAGGCAGCAGUGGGGAAUAUUGCACAAUGGGCGGAAGCCUGAUGCAGCAACGCCGCGUGAGGGAUGACGGCCUUCGGGUUGUAAACCUCUUUUAGCAAGGAAGAAGCUUUUGUGACGGUACUUGCAGAAAAAGCGCCGGCUAACUACGUGCCAGCCGCCGCCGUAACAC
rnacentral:rRNA from 1 species